rnacentral:lncRNA from 1 species
UUUUUUCUUUCAUUUAAUAUUUAUUUCUAGAAUGGAAGUAAGUGAUAGUGAGCAAGAAUGGUCAUUCCACAUUCCAAAAAAAAAUCUCUACGUUAAUAAAAUCCACAUCAACAUAUUCAAUUGAAGUUUUAAGUUUACACUUUGUCAUAGAACACUUGUUAUGGGGUAAAUAUACUUGCAAUGGAGAAAAAAAAAAGUAUGAGUUAAAAUUUAAGAAGCUUCUUUCUUCUCGACCAGGAGUUGGCAUACUUUUUGUAAUGGAUAAGACAGUAAAUAUUUUAGUCUUUGUGGGUUUUAGGGUAUUAAAACUACUCCAGUCUCCUGCUAUAGCCCACCACAGGCAGCCAUAAACAAUGAGCAAAGCUAUGUUCCAGUAACAUUCCAUCUAAAAUAGAUGGGCAGAUUUGGGCUAUAGUUUGUCCAUCCCUGCUUCAGGCUAGUGGCUCUCACAUUUGAACAUGCAUCAGCAUCACCUGGGGGGCUUGCUAAGGCACAGAUUUCUAGGCUGAUAAGGCUGUUCCCCAGAGGGCACAAGAAACUGUAUUUCUAGCAAGUUUCCCCAUGAUUCUGAUGCCACUGGUCUCGGACACAUGCUUUUUACUCAGGAACACCUACCCUGAGAACUCUUUCAUCAUUUCUACUGCCAUAUUUUUGUAACAUUUUAAAACAGCUAAAACAGACUUUUUCUUUUUUUUUUUAAUUAUUCAAACAGCUUUUAUUAUAAAACUAAACAGCAGUUUAGUUUUUUUUUUAAAAACUAAUAGUUUAGUUUAUUAUGAAUAGUUUAGUUUAUUAUAAACUAAACUAUUAUAAAACUAAACUAAAGGUGUCUACAGAGUUGUCUUUUUCUUGACAUGAACACUAUAAGAUUUCCUAAAGAGAUCAUUUGUCAGGAAUAAAAAGGUUGGGGUGGGUAGGAAAUAAGACUGUAUAGUGACUUCUGGUUCAACCAUCACCAUCUAUUAUAGUGCUGAGUUAUUUUGUAACUGAGGAUGAUGCUAUAGAAAAUACAUCUUGCAUACGGUCACAAGCUGGAAAUGUUCUCACAGUGUAAAAAGGUACAAAAAGAAGCACCCACCACUCAGAGGCAAAAAAAUGCUUUCGUCUUGAUAUAAUUUCUGAUUUUUAAUGCAUAUUUUACACAAUUAAGGUCAUAUUACAAUAUGUAUACUAUAUUAUAAUAGCAUUAUACUAUGAAUAAUAUUAUAAUGACCUUAUAUAAAAAUAUACUACAAAAUAUAUUAGUUUUGUAAUAUGCUCUUUUAGCCUAGUGAUCAGAAUCAUUUCCCCUUACUAUUAGAAACAAUUUGUAGGGCAGCCCGGGUGGCUCAGUGGUUUAGUGCCUCCUCCCCAGGGUGUGAUCCUGGGGACCCAGGAUCGAGUCCCACAUUGGGCUCCCUGCAUGGAGUCUGCUUCUCCCUUUGCCUGUGUCUCUGCCUCUCUCUCUCUCUCUCUCUCUCUGUUUCAUGAAUAAAUAAAUAAAAUUAAGAAAAAAAGAAACUAUUUGUAAACAUUUGUAAUGGAUGUGUACUAUUUCCUUAUAAAUGAAUAUAAACAUAUUUUAGAAUGAGUCCCACCACUUCCAUAAUUCUUGUACUCUCUUCAGUCUUUCCCUUUAGGAAUAAUCUUGUAAUGAAUAUCUUUGUGCAAGAAUUAUCACCAUUUUUAUAUUUCUUUUGAAAACAAUUAAAGAAGUAGAAUUUCUGGAUAUAUAUAUAUCAAAUUUCUGGAUAUUUUUAAGACUCUUGAUGGAUAUUGGAAUUUUUUUGCUAUAACUUCACACUUAUUAUAUAAGAGAGCCAGCUUCACUAUACCCUAUCCAACAUUGGGCAUUUCAGGCAGUUUUCUUAGUUUAUAAUAUGAAACAAAGUGACUGGAAUGGGCUCAGUUUUCCCUAUCAUAUUAUAAAAGUGUCUAUUUAUCCUUUUUAUCUCUGGCUCCAACCCUAUCACAUAGUUCCUUUCAUCCUAUCUCAUUCCUGCUACUCCUAAUAGCAUCAUAUAUACAUAAAUACAAUUGCAAGAUAUCUGGCUUCAGGCCCAAACAGUGCCUAAGCCUGUAUUCUCUCAGGUGUUGCCUUACCUGGCAGAAACACUCUUAUGUAUCUCUGUAAAUGUGCAGAGCAAAAGUCCACUUAUAUGCAGAGCUAUGCUAGAGUGCUAGACCAGAGUGUAGCUCUCCAAAGAAUGGUCAAGGGACAGAGCUCUCCAUCGUUGUGGCUGUCUCUUCCGCCAGCACACAGCAAAGGUUAAAUCAAGCCAUGGUUGCUGGGCAGAAGCAAAUCAGCACAGGGAAAGGAUGAUUAAGGUUCCACAAGAAGUCACAGAUAUGCUCCCAUGCUAAUAGCAGCCCUUGCCCAAGAAAAUUUAUCCCUGAAGAUUGAAUAGAGAAUUGGCGAACUUUGUAAGCUUCUGCUUGGCUCAGCUUUGAAAUUUGUUUUUGAUGAGCUUAUGGAGAAACAUCGAAAGAAUCAUCUUGUUGGGAAAAAUGAAAACUCAGAAGGGUUCUGAGCUGAUAGACAACUGAAGAUCACAUUAGAAAUAAGUUGUUCCUGAAGAUGCCAGGACUGAUAGAUGACAAACUAUGUCAAAUUCUUCCUCUACUGCCUUCCCAUGGACCA